GGUUGAUCCAGCAUGCUUUUUUUUUUUAUAUAAUUUGUGUCUUGUGUCUUGGGUGGACCUACAAAUAAGUCUUCUACACCUUCAUGCUUUCUCCAUCUGCUAUUUGUUGCUUCUUUGUUGUUAUCAUCGUUCUUUACAAGUCCAUUGGUUCCAGCUCACACUAUAUAUAUAUCAAUCAUGUACAAAGGCAUAUUAACCAAACCCAAAGCAAAAUCAAUCUCAUUAGUGGCUGAAUUAAGAUUUAAUUAAGACUCAGGCUUUGCUUUUUUUUUCAGCUUUAACAAUCGAAGCAAAUAAAGCAUAAAGCCAUAAACAAAUAUUAACAUGUAACCACUUCCUCUUCAAUUUACGACAAUUUUUCAGCAACAAAUUUGAUAACAGUAAAAUUUCAUGUAUUUUCAGCAGUAGAUGAAAAAUAUCUUGGCAUGCAACAUUAUAAUUUCCUAUGACAUUAAUAUCAAUAAAAGUUCAGUUUUAUUUGUUUGGAUUACGAAAAUGUUUUAUAUAUUUUUCUAUACUUAUUAAUGCUUUGUAGAUUGGUAAUUUUGAUAAGUUUGGUUAAAUAUAACUAUAUCUAUGAUUAUUUGAUUUUAAUUUUAAUUU
rnacentral:misc_RNA from 1 species